AUGGGCAUCGCGCAACAGCAGCCCCGUCUGGGCCAUCGGCUGCCCGACCUAGCUCCGGCCAGCAAGCAGAAAAUAGCCAUGGGCCAGCAAAGGACCCAGCCUCGCCCGACAUGGCCUCGACCGUCUCGCACGCAGCCGCAGUCGCCUCGUCCAUGUCCACGUCGCCUUGCACGCGCCGAUUCCCGGCAGUUCCGCUUCUUCUGCCGUCGCUGCUUCCAAUCGAUCUGGAUCGAUCCAAUCUGCCGAGGAAGGACCUGCACCAACGCCUCGCUGCUCCUGAUCUGGAUUGCUCCUUGUGCUCGCCGACUUCUGCUGCUUCAAAAAAUUCCACCGAUCAUUCAGAAACUGGGCCACUGCCCUUUGGGCCAUCUCAUCUUCAAGAGUCCUUCUCAUGGUAUUCCGGGAGCGCCAAUUAAGCUUGCGAAAGGGUUGCGUCUGGGUGACCCACUCUCACCUGUGCUAUUCAUCAUCACGAUUGACCCCUUGCAGCAGCUACUUGACAAGGCCGUGGAGCAAGGCAUUCUCCAUUGGUUUCGUGGUCAGGCAACAGCAGUUUGUAACUCCCUCUACGCUGAUGACACGACUAUCUUCGUUGCCCCUAUUAAAGAGGAUAUACAGAACCCUGCGACCAUUUUGACCAGCUUUGGUGAAGUUACAGGGCUCCUUAAGUGUAUUGUGGCGCCCAUCCGUUGUGCAAACAUUGAUCUGGAUGAUAUCCUCCAAAGCUUCCUUGCCAUCCGAACCAGAUUCACGCUGCGUUAUCUGGGCCUUCCUCUCUCCACACAUAGCCUCACAGAAUCUGAUUGUCAAUUCUUGGUGGACAAGUUUGGUGAAGUCCAUGUGACCAUGUUAUCAUCCAUAACUAAGAUGCAAAGAGCCUUCUUGUGGGACAGCACAAAUAAGGUGUCAAGAGGUCAGUGCAAGGCGAGUUUUUGGUUCACGCCUUGGCUACAGGGAAAAAUAUCAAAGGACAUGGCUCUGGGUAUCUUCACCCUUUCAAAGCACAAGAAUGUGUGUGUGGCAAAGGCUCUGACAAACAGUGACUGGAUCCGCCGCACCAACAUGCAGGGAGGCCUCUCUGUCGACCACAUACAACAAGUCGUCAAUCUAUGGAGCAAGGUCCAGGAGGUACAACUUGCGGUGGGCAUAGAGGAUGUCAUUAGAUGGAAAUUUACUACGGACGGAUGCUACUCUGCUGCCACGUCGUACAUAAUGCAAUUCGUUGGAUUGAUAAAGUCAGACAUGCCUGGGAUGGUCUGGAAGGUUUGGGCGCUGCCUAAGAUUAAAUUCUUCUCAUGGUUCAUUCUUCAAGACAGAGUUUGGACGGCGGAUAGACUUGCCCAUAGGGGCUGGCCCAGUUGUGGUCUUUGUCAGCUUUGUAAAAGGGAACCACGCACCUCUUGCUUAAGUGUCGCUACUCGAUCAGGAUUUGCAAUUUGA
rnacentral:rRNA from 1 species